rnacentral:rRNA from 1 species
AUGGAAGUGGGCAUCCGCCGCAUUCGCUUCUGGUCCGUCGAGGAGGAUGGCUCGUCCGUCUCCUCCUUCCACUUUGAGGGGGAUGGUGUCUCCCCUCCUCGCUCGCCGCGUGGACCUCACUCCACUGGCAUGGACGACAUCGACACGCUCAGUCUUCGCGGCUUCGACUCCCUCUCCAUCGAGCCACGCCCUGCUGCUCCUACUCCAAUCGACGACUUCCCUGGUGCCCAGCAGAGCGCGGCCAUGGCCGCCUUUCGCCGGGGGCUUGGGCGCCGCAUGGCUGGGCUGCUCUCUGAGCCCUUCCCUCCCAAGUGGUGCGCCAUCUUCCCUCCGGCAACCCCUCUGUUUCAAGACGAGGGCAGCGACUCCUCCAUCUCUGACCCCGCCUCUGCUGACGGCCACGCCCUGAUGCUUCCCUCCCCGGUGAUGCUGCCCUCCGAGCUGGCAAACGACGACCACGAGCACGCCGCCCUCAAGCGUCGUGGCCGGCGCAUGCGCGCGGUUGACACGGACCACACCGGUCGCCGUAGCUCCCGCCUCGCCCGAAAGGAGCCGUCCCUGUACGUCAAGAUGUUGGACCGGGCCAAGGCGGUCAAGGCGGCGCGCUUCGACUACUCCAAGGGCUCCCCCCGCCUCCGCGCUGCUAUGCGGGCUGCCGGCAUUGGCGUCAACGAUGGCGUGCCCGACUCCCUCUCCCUUCGUCAGCUUCAAGCCCUGGGGGAGCCAUGUGGUGUCGACCUGGACGCGCUUGCCGCUUGCGCUCGCGCUGAGGAGGCGUUCGACGCUGCAUGA